CGUGUAGGCGGCUGAGCAAGUCAGAUGUGAAAUCCCUGGGCUUAACCCAGGAAGUGCAUUUGAAACUGCUUAGCUUGAGUAAGGAAGAGGGAAGUGGAAUUCCUGGUGUAGAGGUGAAAUUCGUAGAUAUCAGGAGGAACACCGGUGGCGAAGGCGACUUCCUGGUCCUAUACUGACGCUGAGACGCGAGAGCGUGGGGGAGCAAACA
rnacentral:rRNA from 1 species